rnacentral:misc_RNA from 1 species
UGACCCUCUACCAGUGCGAAAUAUUGCACUCUAAAGUUUAGUUUGAAAGUACAAGAUCCUCGCCAGCAUUAAAAAUGAAGACAGAAUUACCGGGAAAGAGGGGGAAAGUUGCCAUAAUGAUCAAAUUUUGUUACUGGAGUGACCAAAUUAAAAUGCAAGAAGAUAAUAUCUUUAUCCUCAGAACAAUUUUCAAUUGGAGUUUUGCGACCAUAGCCAUCAGUUUCAACUCUACACAAUUCGCUCCAACUCUCUUGCGUAACUCAGAGUCUGGUUAAUAAGUUGUAGAGAAGGUAUUUCCUUGCAAGAGGCAGAUUCUUUUGCCUUCUGGAAAAUUACUUGACCAGUCUUUAUCUCCCACUCGGGGUGCUCCUCCUUGAUGUACUGCAGAAGUUCAUUAUCAGAAGAGAAGAGCAACAUUUGGCGGGCAUCACUAACUGAAAGAUAGUCAUAUGCCUUCUCACUGCAUCCAGCUAUUUCAUCCCUUACUGUCUUUGCCAAAAGAUCCAUGAAAUAAUCAUAGGUUUUGCAUGGCACAGUUUGUUUUGCACUCAGCACACGGUUGUAAGCCCCUUCCAUGAAUGAUUGCUCCAACUCCACAGCAUGCUUGAUGCAAGGAUUUUCCAAAGCAGUGGAUGAAAGCAGUUCCAGCUCAGUAUGGAAUUCAGCAAUUCUAUUCUGCACUAGAAGUCUCAAGAGGUUGAGGCCUAAGAUCAUGUAUUCCUGAGAAGAUGGGGGGAGACGGCUACUG